CAUUGACUGUGCCUUCUCAGA
rnacentral:piRNA from 1 species